CGGACGGGUGAGUAACGCGUGGGUAACCUGCCUCAUACAGGGGGAUAACAGUUAGAAAUGACUGCCAAAACCGCAUAAGCGCACAAGACCGCAUGGUUUGGUGUGAAAAACUCCGGUGGUAUGAGAUGGACCCGCGUCUGAUUAGCUAGUUGGAGAGGUAGCGGCUCACCAAGGCGACGAUCAGUAGCCGACCUGAGAGGGUGACCGGCCACAUUGGGACUGAGACACGGCCCAAACUCCUACGGAAGGCAGCAG
rnacentral:rRNA from 1 species